rnacentral:rRNA from 1 species
UACGAAGGGGGCGAGCGUUGUUCGGAAUUACUGGGCGUAAAGGGCGCGCAGGCGGCUCUGAAAGUCAGAUGUGAAAGCCCCGGGCUUAACCUGGGAACUGCAUUUGAUACUCCAGAGCUUGAGUACGGGAGAGGAGAGUGGAAUUCCCAGUGUAGAGGUGAAAUUCGUAGAUAUUGGGAAGAACACCGGUGGCGAAGGCGGCUCUCUGGCCCGAUACUGACGCUGAUGCACGAAAGCGUGGGGAGCAAACAGG